GAUGAACGCUGGCGGCGUGCCUAAUACAUGCAAGUCGAGCGAACAGACGAUGAUCUUGCGCCUCUGACGUUAGCGGCGGACGGGUGAGUAACACGUGUAUAACCUACCUAUAAGACUGGGAUAACUUCGGGAAACCGGAGCUAAUACCGGAGAAUAUACUGAACCGCAUGGGGCAAUAGUGAAAGACGGUUUUGCUGUCACUUAUAGAUGGAUCCGCGCCGCAUUAGCUAGUUGGUAAGGUAACGGCUUACCAAGGCAACGAUGCGUAGCCGAACUGAGAGGGUGAUCGCCCACCCUGGAACUGAGACACGGACCAGACUCCUGCGGGACGCCGCAGUAGGCAAUCUUCCGCAACGGGCGAAAGCCUGACGGAACGACGCGGAGUGAGUGAUGACAGUCCUCGGAUCGUAAAACUCUGUUAUUAGGGAAGAACAAAUGUGUAAGUACAUAUGCCCGUAUUGACGGUAACUAAUAAGAAAGCCCCGGCUAACUACGUG
rnacentral:rRNA from 1 species